GACGAACGCNGGCGGCGUGCCUAAUACAUGCAAGUAGAACGCUGAAGGAGGAGCUUGCUUCUCCGGAUGAGUUGCGAACGGGUGAGUAACGCGUAGGUAACCUGCCUGGUAGCGGGGGAUAACUAUUGGAAACGAUAGCUAAUACCGCAUAAUAGCAGUUAUUGCAUGAUAACUGUUUGAAAGGUGCAAUUGCACCACUACCAGAUGGACCUGCGUUGUAUUAGCUAGUUGGUGGGGUAACGGCUCACCAAGGCGACGAUACAUAGCCGACCUGAGAGGGUGAUCGGCCACACUGGGACUGAGACACGGCCCAGACUCCUACGGGAGGCAGCAGUAGGGAAUCUUCGGCAAUGGACGGAAGUCUGACCGAGCAACGCCGCGUGAGUGAAGAAGGUUUUCGGAUCGUAAAGCUCUGUUGUAAGAGAAGAACGAGUGUGAGAGNGGAAAGUCACAC
rnacentral:rRNA from 1 species